UGCAUGAGGAGCCCCUGGCAGAGGAUAAGAGGGGCCCAGAGACCACACCCAGCUGUGGGCACAGAGGCAGAACCCAAGGAGCCACCGCCAUGACCUGGACCCCGCUCCUGCUGCCCCUCCUCACCCUCUGCACAGGCUCUGUGGCCUCCUAUGAGCUGACCCAGUCGUCCCCCUUGUCAGUGGCCUUGGGAGAGACAGCCAGGAUCACCUGCACCGGAGAUUUACUGGAUAAAAAAUAUACUGGAUGGUUCCAGCAGAAGCCAGGCCAGGCCCCUGUGCUGGUCAUUUAUAAGGAUAGCGAGCGGCCGUCGGGCAUCCCUGACCGAUUUGCUGGCUCCAGCUCAGGGAAGACAGCCACCCUGACCAUCAGCGGGGCCCAGGCUGAGGACGAGGCUGACUAUUACUGUCAGUCGUGGGACAGCAGUGGUAAUACUCACAGUGACACAGACAGAUGGGGAAGGAACUGA